UGGGGAAUAUUGGACAAUGGGCGAAAGCCUGAUCCAGCCAUGCCGCGUGUGUGAAGAAGGUCUUCGGAUUGUAAAGCACUUUAAGUUGGGAGGAAGGGCAGUAAGCGAAUACCUUGCUGUUUUGACGUUACCGACAGAAUAAGCACCGGCUAACUCUGUGCCAGCAGCCGCGGUAAUACAGAGGGUGCAAGCGUUAAUCGGAAUUACUGGGCGUAAAGCGCGCGUAGGUGGUUCGUUAAGUUGAAUGUGAAAGCCCCGGGCUCAACCUGGUAACUGCACCCAAAACUGGCGAGCUAGAGUAGGGCAGAUGGUGGUGGAAUUUCCUGUGUAGCGGUGAAAUGCGUAGAUAUAGGAAGGAACACCAGUGGCGAAGGCGAACACCUGGGCUCAUACUGACACUGAGGUGCGAAAGCGUGGGGAGCAAACAGG
rnacentral:rRNA from 1 species